rnacentral:rRNA from 1 species
AUUGAACGCUGGCGGCAGGCCUAACACAUGCAAGUCGGACGGUAGCACAGAGGAGCCUGCUCCUCGGGUGACGAGUGGCGGACGGGUGAGUAAUGUCUGGGGAUCUGCCCGAUAGAGGGGGAUAACCACUGGAAACGGUGGCUAAUACCGCAUAACGUCGCAAGACCAAAGAGGGGGACCUUCGGGCCUCUCACUAUCGGAUGAACCCAGAUGGGAUUAGCUAGUAGGCGGGGUAAUGGCCCACCUAGGCGACGAUCCCUAGCUGGUCUGAGAGGAUGCCCGGCCACACUGGAACUGAGACACGGUCCAGACUCCAACGGGAGGCAGCAGUGGGGAAUAUUGCACAAUGGGCGCAAGCCUGAUGCAGCCAUGCCGCGUGUAUGAAGAAGGCCUUCGGGUUGUAAAGUACUUUCAGCGGGGAGGAAGGCGGUGCGGUUAAUAACCGCGCCGAUUGACGUUACCCGCAGAAGAAGCACCGGCUAACUCCGUGCCAGCCGCCGCCGUAA